rnacentral:rRNA from 1 species
UGCAGUCGAGCGGGGAAGGGUAGCUUGCUACCUGACCUAGCGGCGGACGGGUGAGUAAUGCUUAGGAAUCUGCCUAUUAGUGGGGGACAACAUUCCGAAAGGAAUGCUAAUACCGCAUACGCCCUACGGGGGAAAGCAGGGGAUCUUCGGACCUUGCGCUAAUAGAUGAGCCUAAGUCAGAUUAGCUAGUUGGUGGGGUAAAGGCCUACCAAGGCGACGAUCUGUAGCGGGUCUGAGAGGAUGAUCCGCCACACUGGGACUGAGACACGGCCCAGACUCCUACGGGAGGCAGCAGUGGGGAAUAUUGGACAAUGGGCGAAAGCCUGAUCCAGCCAUGCCGCGUGUGUGAAGAAGGCCUUUUGGUUGUAAAGCACUUUAAGCGAGGAGGAGGCUACCGAGAUUAAUACUCUUGGAUAGUGGACGUUACUCGCAGAAUAAGCACCGGCUAACUCUGUGCCAGCAGCCGCGGUAAUACAGAGGGUGCGAGCGUUAAUCGGAUUUACUGGGCGUAAAGCGUGCGUAGGCGGCUUUUUAAGUCGGAUGUGAAAUCCCUGAGCUUAACUUAGGAAUUGCAUUCGAUACUGGGAAGCUAGAGUAUGGGAGAGGAUGGUAGAAUUCCAGGUGUAGCGGUGAAAUGCGUAGAGAUCUGGAGGAAUACCGAUGGCGAAGGCAGCCAUCUGGCCUAAUACUGACGCUGAGGUACGAAAGCAUGGGGAGCAAACAGGAUUAGAUACCCUGGUAGUCCAUGCCGUAAACGAUGUCUACUAGCCGUUGGGGCCUUUGAGGCUUUAGUGGCGCAGCUAACGCGAUAAGUAGACCGCCUGGGGAGUACGGUCGCAAGACUAAAACUCAAAGGAAUUGACGGA